UAGAGGUAAGAUGUGCACGGAGGGUUGGUUCUUGAGUUUUUCUACUUCUUCCGUUACGACCUUUGUCUCUUUGUCGAAUUCAGCAGUCCUGGGAUCAACCUUUAACUCUAUCUGUGUCUCUUUUCCCAAUUCAACGACUGGUUCCUCCCCUAGUGCAGGUUGCUCCACGUGUCCUGGAUAAGGUUGGAGUCGAACAGGAGACAAUCGCAUGGGGUAGUGGGGUCCAUUAUGCUUCCAUUCUGUUGAUGAGAUUAUGAUACUCUCCAUCAGUUUCUGAUGAAGGGGAAUCGGGAUCUUGGCUGUAUUGCUCAUUCCGAAAAUAUUCUACAUCAUCCGCGGUCAUGGCUAGUUCCAAUGGAAGAUCCAAAUUAUUUCUCUUUUUGAGAUUUAAUAACAUGUCAAGAGUCUCAUUAAUUUGUGUAGGAGACCUUUGAUAUGUUAUGGGAAAAUGAGUUACAAAUAGUAUUCUACCA